rnacentral:lncRNA from 1 species
AUCCCUUGAGCCCAUGAGUUUGAGAUUACAGUGAGCUGUGAUCAUGCCACUGCCGCUGCACUCCAGCCUUGGCGACAGAGUGAGACCCUGUCUCAAAAAAAAAAAAAAAAAAAAAAAAAAAGAGGGAGGAUCAGAGAGAGAGAGAGAGACAGGAAAUGGGGCUGCCUAGAGAGAUAGAGAGAGACACAGAGAGACAGAGAACAAGACUGACAGGCAGAGAGAGCCAGAGACAGAGUGACAGAGAGAAGGAAAGAGACCAAGAGGAGAGAAGGUGAGAGGCCAAGGGAGGAGAGAAGGCAGGGAGCGCACAGCUUCAGGUGUGGGCAGUGCCCUUGAGGGGUGGGAUGCGGGAGGGGGUGGGGGGCAUGUCUCUAUGGUUCUCAGGCCCUGAGGGGUGAGAAUCAGCGCCCUCCCAGACGAUUUGCUCUUUGCUGUGUUGCCCGGGCCAGGCCCACCUGCAUCUGAAGCCCAGGUGAAGCCAGAUCGACCCUUGUGCUGGGUCCACGAUGCAGACUUCCAGGAUUCACCUGUUCUAGACCACACUUUGAAAGGCAGAAGCGGGGCUUAUGCUGGGAUCCAGGGAGGCGCUGCAGAUGGGAGACGCCACCUGCCCAUCAAAGGAGUUUACAUUUAUUUGGGAACAGGUGAGACACAAUUUUUCAAAUUCUUAAAAUUAAAAAAAAUGUUAUUGGUUUUUAGGGUAACAGAACAGGAGGGGAUCAAGUGAAAAAUAAAAUUCUCCUCCCCUACAAUACCCUCAAGUACAGUCUAAGGGAUGGGAUUUAAAAUACUGGGGGUUCCCCUAUCCUUCCCUUCCCUUGGUGGGAUGAGAUUGGGGCUACUGGUUGGCAUCACGCCAUGGUGGCAUCUCUUAGGAACAUGAGAAAUGCCAGGUCCUUCAUGACACAGCUUUUCACAAGUACCCAUGUGUGUAAGUACACACACACACACACACACACACACACACACAAUUUAUGCUGCAGGUACAGCCGCUGGUGUAUCCCUGGUGUAUCAGGCACUGAUGUGCUGCUCAUAACUAUGGCCUUUGGGACCCUUCACUGUCUUGUUCUCAGCAACUCAGGUGGGGGCAUUUCAGGCACAAGAGAAGGAUAAACAAAACUUGGCCAACAGGGGAGAUGUCUGAGGGGAAAGAUGAACAGAUAGGCCAGGCUCAUUCCUUUGUUUAUUCAAUGAUUGAGUCCUUCUUCUAGCAUUUACA